GUAAAUACAAAAAAAACUGUACGAAUAUGAAAACAUUGCCGGUUUACUGUCGAUUUUAAGCCGUCGGAAAAAUUUUUAGUGUCAGCCGUUGCUGGUAUUUGUCGGCGUUGGUCUCUAAGUAAAAUCCAUCCACAAAUUUAUUAAGUGAGGAAGAUUAUACUACUUUUUUUUAAAAUGGGUUCAAAUGAAAGAACAAGGUCACCAAGAGCCGAUGAUAAUGGCAACGAAUCUGUGUCUCCAAAAAAGUUUCGAGUUGAUUCUGGAAAAAAUGUUCUGGCUAAAACCUGCAAGUUCUAGCAAAGAGAAAAUUUUAAUUGCUCAAAUUUGUUCUCUUUCACAAUUUCUGGUAAAAACCUGCAAACUUGACAAGUAAAGGAACAAAGCUAUAAUUUAUUAUAGUUUGAUUUUAUUAAUUUUAAUAAAAAUGUAUAUAUAAACUGCCAUUAUUCAUUACUUCUUAAAGGUGUAUAAAUAAAUAAUAGAAACUUAUAGAUUAUUUUCAAAAUUAAUAAAAAUAAACAAUAAUACUUACAUAUUAUAUACGAAAAUAGAGUUCAUUGUAUAAAUAUAUUUUAAUUUAUAAAAUUAAACCAUAAAAAAUGAUGUAAUUUUUUUGCUAAUUCUUGUGUUUUAACAAAGUUUAAAGAAAUUUAAACAAUAAUCAUCAUAUAUGCUGGUGUUGUUUACAUGAUUUCCAAAGACCAACUGAGAAAAUAAGAAAAAAUAAGAAAAAUCCCUUUUAAAGUACAGUUGACGAAUUUCAAAAUAUAAACAUGUUUUUGCAGGUUUUCAUAAUCGUCGUAACACUAAAAUUCCCUUUCGACAAUAUGCAGACAAGUCUGAUGUUAAUCGUUUAAUACUUCAGAAAAUGUUCAGAAAAGUCUAACAAAAAGUAUGCCGAGUAUUCUGUAAAAUGUCUAAAGGAAAUUUAUAUGAUUCGUUAAAAAUUCUGAAGUAUAAGAAUAAUUUCAGAAAAUUUCUGACAGCAGACAUGUCUUUUGUUUACUGGGUAUUUACCCCUACUCCACUAUGAGCAAUCUUGUAGAAAAUCUCUUUUUGGUUAACAAUAAGAAAAAAUGUUUAUAUAUUUAACAAAAUUCAAUAACCAUAAGCAGUUAUAAAUUUCUACUUAACGAAUCUUUUAAGACAAAAUGAAUUAUUGUGAAGUAGAAAUUUGUAACCGCUUAUGGCCUAUAGGCUAGGUUAUUGAAUAUUGUUAAAUAAAAUAAAAAAUAAAAAAAAUAAAAUGAAUUAUUAUACAAAGAAAAAUUUAAGAACUAAAUUAUUUAAAAAAAUAAACUAUAUCAAAUAACUAUAGAACAAUUAACUUGUACUGUAUUGAUAAUAAAUAAAUUACAAUCAAUCAAAUGUAAUUUAAAGUAGCAAAACAGGUCAAAAAUGAACUCACAGAACUAAUCAAUAUGUCAUACAGCAACUAUAUGGCAAAUAAAACUCCGGGCUAUAAAGGACAUUGGUAAAACAUAUCAGACAGAACAUGUAGCUAUAAAUCACCUAUUAGUUGAACAUUUCUGAAUAAAUAUAUGAGACAAUUGGAAGAAAGUUUUUAACGAGCCUAAUAAAUAUCGAAUCAUAAAUAAUAAAUCAAAUACCAAAACUACCAGUUAAUUACAUAAUAUAAAUUUCAAGAGUAGCUUAGAUAGAACCUAAUGAAAAAACAGUUACAUAAGAGCAAAAAUAUAAAUAGCAGGAAAAACCCAUCACAAACACAAAACUCUAUCUUUUCCACGACAAUUGGGUCUUCGCUCCGGAUCGACCCGAUUCUCAAUCAUCCUAAGAUUGACAACUCAGCAACAACUGUAUCAACCGGAAAUUUUUUUCCCCAGGGUAGAACAUUUAGUUACAGCCAACCUGUUACAACAACAACACUCUCCAAAGCCAAAGAUGACAGAAAUUUCCAAAAUUGACAAACAAUCUCACAAAAUUCACCACCGUAAAUCAGUCAAUACUAGAUAAAAAACCUAAGCAUAUUAAUUGCAGUUAAUAUGAUGUGAACCGACAAAAAUAAAUAGGCAACCAAUAAUACCAAACAGUCUGAGACAUACUAUAAAAAGAAACAAAUUACAGUAACUAGUAGUAAUAUGAGAGACCAAAACAGCAUAAAUCAGAAUCAUAGAAAAAAUGCCUCACAUUAAAGACACAAUGAAUAGCAAGAAUAAUACCAAUUUAAGAAAACCCUGCAUGUUGAAUAAGCCAAUCAAUUAAAAAGGCAAAAGAAAAUACGAGUUUCCAAGUCAGAAUUGGCAAUUUAUCAGAAAUUAAAAUCAAUUCCGAUUUGAAUAGGUGUCAUGAAAUCGUCUUGAUUUUGCCUACUUUCGAAAAUAAACAAAACCCAUAUUAGAAUCAGCUGUUUUCUUUUGUUUGCAUUUUUUAUUUUAGUUAAAUUUUCAGAAGUUGACCUAUUAUACAUUUUUUUAAAUAAUUUAUACAAAAAAUUGAAAUAGUUGAGGCAGUAGUUGCAUUUUAUUGAUGGAGGAAGAAAGUUGUCAACGAAUUAAUCGGAAAAUUUUAAGGGAUCACAGCAAUCCAUUGGAACUGCCAGAAUCUGUGUAGGUAGAGAUUUUGAUUUGGCCGGGAAGUGGUUUUAACACUUUAGUGGUUUGCAGAUUCUUUGGACAAUACCGUCUGAAUAAAGAAGCGUUCGUAAUGGUGUUGGACAUUGUAAAAGAACAUUUGUUACCAUCAAGAGAAACCGUCAAUUCCACUAAAACUUUAUCGCGUUUUGUGAAACCUUUUGCUAUAUCUGGGUUCUUCUCCAUGAACUCUAAAAAUAAUACAUUCUGUGUUGCAUUUCUAUGCCCCUAUUUGUGCCAAAAAUAAUUGAAUAUUUAUAAGUUAUUUAAUUUUAUUUACUUAACAUACAUUUUCCAACAACAUUCCACAAUCUAACAAAACAAAAGAAAACUGCAAAUCUGUAAGCAGUCAGCUGAUCGGAUUUUUUCUGACAAAAAAACGAUAACAUCAGAUUCUAUGACAUCAAAUUCUGAUUACAAAUUCUGAUUCGAAUACGAAACCAAUAAUAUUGGUUUCUAUGACACCAAAAUCAAUUUUUGGUCGGUUUCAAAUCUGAUUCCGAGAGCAAUCAGAUUCCAUAACAGCCGUGAAUAUAUAAAAAAUACAUAUUAAUAAAUCCUGAAUAAAAAAAAAAAAAAAAACAAUGAAGCUGAAAACACCAACAAUGCUCAUGUAUUAAUCCAAACAACACAAAUAUGUAAUACUCAUCUAAGCAAUCAGAAAUAAAACACUAAUGACAACUCAUAUACGUAAACCCAGUAAUUUUCUUUAAUCGGUCAACAGAUAUUUAAUAUAUUGCAUAUAUGCAAUAAUAAGUACAUGACUAUUGAAAAUAAUGCAUUCAGCUAAAUUCAUUAAAAUUUCAUUACAAAUAUCAAUAA